rnacentral:rRNA from 1 species
UGGCUCAGGAUGAACGCUAGCGACAGGCCUAACACAUGCAAGUCGAGGGGCAUCGGGGCGAGGAGCAAUCCUUGCCGCCGGCGACCGGCGCACGGGUGAGUAACGCGUAUGCGACCUGCCCGUUGCAGGGGGAUAAUCGGGAGAAAUCCCGUCUAAUACCGCGUAAUGCCGCGGGGCUGCAUGGCCCUGCGGCCAAAGGAAGCGAUUCCGGCAACGGAUGGGCAUGCGUGACAUUAGCUAGUUGGCGGGGCAACGGCCCACCAAGGCGACGAUGUCUAGGGGUUCUGAGAGGAAGGUCCCCCACACUGGUACUGAAACACGGACCAGACUCCUACGGGAGGCAGCAGUGAGGAAUAUUGGUCAAUGGGCGCGAGCCUGAACCAGCCAAGUCGCGUGAGGGAUGACGGCCCUACGGGUUGUAAACCUCUUUUGUCGGGGAGCAAAUUCCGCCACGUGUGGCGGAGUCGAGAGUACCCGAAGAAAAAGCAUCGGCUAACUCCGUGCCAGCAGCCGCGGUAAUACGGAGGAUGCGAGCGUUAUCCGGAUUUAUUGGGUUUAAAGGGUGCGUAGGCGGACUGUCAGGUCAGCGGUAAAAUACGGGGGCUCAACCUCCGCCCGCCGUUGAAACUGACGGUCUUGAGUGGGCGAGAAGUAUGCGGAAUGCGUGGUGUAGCGGUGAAAUGCAUAGAUAUCACGCAGAACUCCGAUUGCGAAGGCAGCAUACCGGCGCCCAACUGACGCUGAAGCACGAAAGCGUGGGUAUCGAACAGGAUUAGAUACCCUGGUAGUCCACGCAGUAAACGAUGAAUACUAGCUGUCCGGGGCGAAUGAGCCCUGGGUGGCACAGCGAAAGCGUUAAGUAUUCCACCUGGGGAGUACGCCGGAAACGUUGAAACUCAAAGGAAUGACGGGGGCCCGCAACAGCGGAGGAACAUGUGUUUAAAUUCGAUGAUACGCGAGGAACCUUACCCGGGCUUCAAACGACACAGGAACGUACCUGAAAGGGUUCGGCUCUACGGAGCCUGUGUCGUGGUGCUGCAUGGUUGUCGUCAGCUCGUGCCGUGAGGUGUCGGCUUAAGUGCCAUAACGAGCGCAACCCCCAUCGACAGUUGCUAACAGGUCAGGCUGAGGACUCUGUCGAGACUGCCGGCGCAAGCUGCGAGGAAGGCGGGGAUGACGUCAAAUCAGCACGGCCCUUACGUCCGGGGCGACACACGUGUUACAAUGGCAGGUACAGCGGGAAGCCACCUGGCGACAGGGAGCGGAACCCGAAAGCCUGUCUCAGUUCGGAUUGGAGUCUGCAACCCGACUCCAUGAAGCUGGAUUCGCUAGUAAUCGCGCAUCAGCCACGGCGCGGUGAAUACGUUCCCGGGCCUCGUACACACCGCCCGUCAAGCCAUGGAAGCCGGGGGUGCCUGAAGUGCGCUGCCGCGAGGAGCGCCCUAGGGUAAAACCGGUGACUGGGGCUAAGUCGUAACAAGGUAGCCGU